rnacentral:rRNA from 1 species
UACGGGGGGGGCAAGCGUUGUUCGGAAUUACUGGGCGUAAAGGGCGCGUAGGCGGCCUUCUAAGUCAGACGUGAAAUCCCUCGGCUCAACCGAGGGACUGCGUCUGAUACUGGAAGGCUUGAAUCCGGGAGAGGGAUGUGGAAUUCCAGGUGUAGCGGUGAAAUGCGUAGAUAUCUGGAGGAACACCGGUGGCGAAGGCGGCAUCCUGGACCGGUAUUGACGCUGAGGCGCGAAAGCUAGGGGAGCAAACGGG